GGAGCCUACGGGGGGCAGCAGUGAGGAAUAUUGGUCAAUGGCCGAGAGGCUGAACCAGCCAAGUCGCGUGAGGGAUGACGGCCCUACGGGUUGUAAACCUCUUUUGUCGGGGAGCAAGACCCGCCUCGUGCAGGCGGAGCGAGAGUACCCGAAGAAAAAGCAUCGGCUAACUCCGUGCCAGCAGCCGCGGUAAUACGGAGGAUGCGAGCGUUAUCCGGAUUUAUUGGGUUUAAAGGGUGCGUAGGCGGGCUUUUAAGUCAGCGGUAAAAAUUCGGGGCUCAACCCCGUCCGGCCGUUGAAACUGG
rnacentral:rRNA from 1 species